CACACUCCCAGAGGGCAUUCAGGGACAUCUCACCUGCUCAGCCAGAAACAGCAUCAGCAGCGCCAACGAAACCCAACUGCUACCCUCCUGCAUAACCACCCCAGCACCACCUGUCUCCACACCUCCACAUCACCUCAACUCUACUGUAUCUGUGACAACCAUGGUAACUAACACCACGGUUGGGCCACUGUCUGAAUCAGUCAUCAUUCUUGGAGCAGUUCUGGGAGGUGUUGUGUUUCUGUGUGUGUUCAUGGCAGUGUUUUGCAUCUGCAAAAAGAAGAAGAAAGACAUACCCACAAUAGCUAACAGCUACGAGGUGGAGUAUGCAGAAGUGUCCUUCAAGAAGAGGAGGGAGACUGAGGAGAGGAGAAAAUUGGCGGAGACUGUGGACUACGGAGAGGUGACCUUCCGGAAGAAGGGGGAGACUGAAGAGAAGAGAACAUUGGCGGAGACGGUGGACUACGGAGAGGUGACCUUCCGGAAGAAGGGGGAAACUGAGGAGAAGAGAACAUUGGCGGAGACGGUGGACUACGGAGAGGUCAGACUACCAAAACCUACCUGCAACACACAGCAGGAGGACAGUGUGUAUGCGCAGGUGCGCAGAGGACAGUGACAGGACACUGUCUCUCUGUGUGUGUUUGUGUGUGUGUGAGAGUGUAUGUGACUCUAUGUGUGGGUGUGUGUGUGCGUAUGUGUGUGUGAGAGUGUAUGUUACUUUAUGUGUGUGUGUGUGUGUGUGUGUGUGUGUGUGUGUGUGUGUGUGUGUGUGUCCCCAAACCCAAUCAUGUCAGCAGCUCAGAGACAAAGUGAGGGAGAGAGAGAGAGUUUGUGUUGCAUAUAUAUUAGUGCUGUCAGUUUAACGCGUUAUUAACGGCGUUAACGCAAACCCAUUUUAACGCCGUUAAUUUUUUUAUCGCGAGAU
ensembl:lncRNA